UUUGUGAAAAACGCCGCAAAAGAUCAGCAAUAGCGGCGUUUUUAUGAAAAACACCACAAAAAAUAAUUUCACUUUAAAAAAACAGGCGCCAUAUUAUAAAAUUCCCUCCCAACUUUCCCCCCAAAAUCCCUAAUUUCCCACGUCCAAGAAAAAAAAACCCAAAAGCUUAUUAACUCUGUGUUUUUUCCUUUCUCUCUUUCUCUUUCUUGUGUUCCUGUUCUUGCUUUUAGUAGUCUAAUUAUUGGUUUUCCUCUUUUUCUUUUGUAUUUUUUUUUCAAACUCCAUUUUUCAAAUCUUUUCUUUUGAAUUUCUGAUCCAUUCAGAGUGCUGAAAAAUAUUCAGAACAUAUAUGUUUCAGCAAGUAAAUAUUUAGGGAUGGGGUUUACAAGGAGCUACGUCGGGCAUGGAGGAUGCCAAAGAGCAAAUUGUACAGGAGUCCAAAAAUUCCACGCUACCAUCUAAAGAUGAGGUUGUGUUCUUAUCUUGGUUCAUUGUGGAAUAUUUGAUUGGUUAAAGAUUUUAGCUACAUACAGAAAAAUCCCUUCAUCCCUGGAAGAGAGAUACCUCCUGAUGCACAAGAUCAAAUACAGAGAUUUUAUCAUUACUGAAGCAAAGAGAAGAAGUGUGAAUGGAAAAUAUUCUUAUUGCUAGCUUUUUUACUUCAGCAUGAGUUGUUAGAUAAUGCCAUAGCUAGUUGCAUUGAAAAUGAAGGUCGUGCCUUUAUUUUCAAUUGUUUUAUUCCCUGUAACUUAGUUUAGUCUCGUGUUAGUUUUUAUUUGUAUUGGGUAGUUUGACAGUGGUUUUCCAUUGUAAUGUAGAGGAUGUUUUGUCUUUUGGGGAUGAAGAUAUGGUUUCGGUUGAUCAGGAAAAUGAAGAAUUUCAGGACUGUGAGUUUCGUGCUGAGGGACAUGAAGGAACCCCUCAUGAAGCUCUUAUUUUGGCGCUUGGCUAUUUGGGUGUGCGGGAUCUUUUUGUUAUUGAGAAUGUUUGCACAUCUCUGCGAUCUGUAGUUCAGAAUGAUCCUCUUUUAUGGAGGGAUAUUCACAUAAAUCCGCCAAUAAUCCAAAGCUAAUCAAGAUGGGCUGAACAUGUUUGAUGGAACUGAUGCACAUUACUUCCGCACGGGGUUAAGGGGUCACCACUCGGUGUGGGAUUCUCGCCUUUUUAAUUAUGGAAGCUGGGAAGUAUGUACUUCUACCUAAACAUUUCUUAAUGAAUAGCUCUUGUUUAAAGAUUUUGGCUUCCUCCCUUCCAGUUGUAAAUAUUUUUUCUUAGUUGUUGCUUUAGGUAUUGAGGUAUCUUCUUUCAUAUGCAAGAUGGUGGCUGGAGGAGUAUAAGUUUGAUGGGUACAGAUUUGAUGGUGUGACUUCAAUGAUGUACAAGAUUUCCUUGAUUAAGUAAAUGUAUUAUUUAUUUGAGUAAAAAAAUGCAUUGUAUGUUUUAUUACCUUGAAUAUGUAUUAUUUAUUUUAGUUUUGAUUCUAAA